CCGACGGUGAGGGAUGAAAGCUGGGGGAGCAAACCGGAUUAGAUACCCGGGUAGUCCAGCUGUAACGAUGCAAACUCGAUGAUGCGUUGGCUUAUUGCUAGCGCAGUGUCGCAGGGAAGCCGUUAAGUUUGCCGCCUGGGAAGUACGUACGCAAGUAUGAAACUUAAAGGAAUUGGCGGGGGAGCACCACAAGGGGUGAAGCCUGCGGUUCAAUUGGAGUCAACGCCUGAAACCUUACCCGGAGAGACAGCAGAAUGAAGGUCAAGCUGAAGACUUUACCAGACAAGCUGAGAGGUGGUGCAUGGCCGUCGCCAGCUCGUGCCGUGAGAUGUCCUGUUAAGUCAGGUAACGAGCGAGAUCCCUGCCUCUAGUUGCCACUAUUACACCCUGGUGUAGUAGGGCGAAUUAGGGGGACCGCCGCAGUUAAUGCGGAGGAAGGAAGGGGCUACGGCAGGUCAGUAUGCCCCGAAACUCUGGGGCCACACGCGGGCUGCAAUGGUAGCGACAAUGAGUCCCGAAAUCGAAAGAUAGAGGUAAUCCCUAAACGCUACCACAGUUGUGAUUGAGGGCUGCAACUCGCCCUCAUGAACAUGGAAUCCCUAGUAACCGCGUGUCAUUAUCGCGCAGUGAAUACGUCCCUGCUCCUUGCACACACCGCCCGU
rnacentral:rRNA from 1 species